rnacentral:rRNA from 1 species
CCGAUGACUCGGGGAUAGCCUUUCGAAAGAAAGAUUAAUACCCGAUGGCAUAGUUCUUCCGCAUGGUAGAACUAUUAAAGAAUUUCGGUCAUCGAUGGGGAUGCGUUCCAUUAGGUUGUUGGCGGGGUAACGGCCCACCAAGCCUUCGAUGGAUAGGGGUUCUGAGAGGAAGGUCCCCCACAUUGGAACUGAGACACGGUCCAAACUCCUACGGGAGGCAGCAGUGAGGAAUAUUGGUCAAUGGACGAGAGUCUGAACCAGCCAAGUAGCGUGAAGGAUGACUGCCCUACGGGUUGUAAACUUCUUUUAUACGGGAAUAAAGUGAGGCACGUGUGCCUUUUUGUAUGUACCGUAUGAAUAAGGAUCGGCUAACUCCGUGCCAGCAGCCGCGGUAAUACGGAGGAUCCGAGCGUUAUCCGGAUUUAUUGGGUUUAAAGGGAGCGUAGGCGGACGCUUAAGUCAGUUGUGAAAGUUUGCGGCUCAACCGUAAAAUUGCAGUUGAUACUGGGUGUCUUGAGUACAGUAGAGGCAGGCGGAAUUCGUGGUGUAGCGGUGAAAUGCUUAGAUAUCACGAAGAACUCCGAUUGCGAAGGCAGCCUGCUGGACUGUAACUGACGCUGAUGCUCGAAAGUGUGGGUAUCAAACAGGAUUAGAUACCCUGGUAGUCCACACAGUAAACGAUGAAUACUCGCUGUUUGCGAUAUACAGUAAGCGGCC